UGUCUUGGAUCUGUCACCCAUAGCUCCUCCUAUAGCUAUUUCUGCACAUCCAUUGCAAGUCUUGGUUCUGUCCACCAUAGCUCUUCCUUCAGCUAGUUCACCACAUCAACUGCACAAGGCCAACAAGAGAGCUUCCAUCAAGACAGAACACAAGCAUAUCAUGUUAAUUAUCUUGGAUUAUAAUACUGCCACAAGAAAUCAAAAAAAGAAGAAGGUGAGAUUAGCCUUUGUUGGUGCAAAAGUGAAUCACCUUGGGCGUAGUUUGUGGGAGACACGGCCAUCAGCCGCAGAAGGGAUGGAUGAUGCCACAAUAGAUGCCCCGGUAUUGAGGAAUAAUUCUAUCUAUUACAGAUGUAACGACAGUACCAAGACUCGUACUACUAUUGCAGAAUAACAGAGAGUUGUAGGCUAGAUAAAAUGCCGC
rnacentral:lncRNA from 1 species